rnacentral:lncRNA from 1 species
GAUAAUAUAUAGGUUCGUUUCGUGUGUAUUUUAGUCCAGACGCCAUCUAAUUAACUAUCAAUUUGACCUCAGAUGACCAUAUAAGCGAUGUAAACAUAAAUAAAGAUAUGAAUAGAUUAAACCAACACGUGCAAUUGGAUUUUUGUCGAGCCUGCAACUUUUGUUGCAGAAAGCUCGACAUAGGGAUAGUGAUCCGGCGGCGGCGGCGGUGUUAGCUAACUUCUUAAAAGCUUUAUAUUUUAGAAGGUGGAAGACCUGGAUGCUUCAUACUUUGUAUAAAGAUGCCUCAUGUUACGAAGUUUCCGUCAGUCACAUGUCCAAUGUCCUUG